AUAAUUUGAAAUAAAAGUGAGCUAAUCUGUUCUUAUCAGCUUAAUAUCUGAUACAGCCUCCAUAGGAGGCUCAGUAUAUUAAUCUAUUUUUUGGGACCAGGCGGGGGCUCGGAGCUUGCUCCGACCUUGCCACGGGUCGACCC
rnacentral:snRNA from 1 species